UCCCUGGUGGUCCACUGGUUAAGACUCUGAGCUUCCAAUGCAGAGGGCACAGGUUCAAUCCCUGGUUGGGGAA
rnacentral:tRNA from 1 species